CAGCCGCCACGGGAAUACGAAGGGGGCUAGCGUUGUUCGGAAUUACUGGGCGUAAAGCGCACGUAGGCGGAUAUUUAAGUCAGGGGUGAAAUCCCGCAGCUCAACUGCGGAACUGCCUUUGAUACUGGGUAUCUUGAGUAUGGAAGAGGUUAGUGGAAUUGCGAGUGUAGAGGUGAAAUUCGUAGAUAUUCGCAGGAACACCAGUGGCGAAGGCGGCUAACUGGUCCAUAACUGACGCUGAGGUGCGAAAGCGUGGGGAGCAAACAGGAUUAGAUACCCCUGUAGUCCCUGUCUCUUAUAA
rnacentral:rRNA from 1 species